GACGAACGCUGGCGGCGUGCCUAAUACAUGCAAGUCGAGCGAAGUUUUUCUGGUGCUUGCACUAGAAAAACUUAGCGGCGAACGGGUGAGUAACACGUAAAGAACCUGCCUCAUAGACUGGGACAACUAUUGGAAACGAUAGCUAAUACCGGAUAACAGCAUUAACUGCAUGGUUGAUGUUUGAAAGUUGGUUUUGCUAACACUAUGAGAUGGCUUUGCGGUGCAUUAGCUAGUUGGUGGGGUAAAGGCCUACCAAGGCGACGAUGCAUAGCCGACCUGAGAGGGUGAUCGGCCACACUGGGACUGAGACACGGCCCAGACUCCUACGGGAGGCAGCAGUAGGGAAUCUUCCGCAAUGGGCGAAAGCCCGACGGAGCAACGCCGCGUGAGUGAAGAAGGAUUUCGGUUCGUAAAGCUCUGUUGUUAGGGAAGAAUGAUUGUGUAGUAACUAUACACA
rnacentral:rRNA from 1 species